rnacentral:tRNA from 1 species
GUCUUAGUGCUGUAGUGGUUAGCAUGUUCGGCUCGUAUUCGAGAGGUCCGUGGUUCGAGUCCCGGCGAGUGCA